GAGCGAACGGACGAGAAGCUUGCUUCUCUGAUGUUAGCGGCGGACGGGUGAGUAACACGUGGAUAACCUACCUAUAAGACUGGGAUAACUUCGGGAAACCGGAGCUAAUACCGGAUAAUAUUUUGAACCGCAUGGUUCAAAAGUGAAAGACGGUCUUGCUGUCACUUAUAGAUGGAUCCGCGCUGCAUUAGCUAGUUGGUAAGGUAACGGCUUACCAAGGCAACGAUGCAUAGCCGACCUGAGAGGGUGAUCGGCCACACUGGAACUGAGACACGGUCCAGACUCCUACGGGAGGCAGCAGUAGGGAAUCUUCCGCAAUGGGCGAAAGCCUGACGGAGCAACGCCGCGUGAGUGAUGAAGGUCUUCGGAUCGUAAAACUCUGUUAUUAGGGAAGAACAUAUGUGUAAGUAACUGUGCACAUCUUGACGGUACCUAAUCAGAAAGCCACGGCUAACUACGUGCCAGCAGCCGCGGUAAUACGUAGGUGGCAAGCGUUAUCCGGAAUUAUUGGGCGUAAAGCGCGCGUAGGCGGUUUUUUAAGUCUGAUGUGAAAGCCCACGGCUCAACCGUGGAGGGUCAUUGGAAACUGGAAAACUUGAGUGCAGAAGAGGAAAGUGGAAUUCCAUGUGUAGCGGUGAAAUGCGCAGAGAUAUGGAGGAACACCAGUGGCGAAGGCGACUUUCUGGUCUGUAACUGACGCUGAUGUGCGAAAGCGUGGGGAUCAAACAGGA
rnacentral:rRNA from 1 species